UAAUACGGAGGGGGCAAGCGUUGUUCGGAUUUACUGGGUGUAAAGGGUGCCUAGGCGGCCGCGCAAGUCGAAUGUGAAAGCCCUCGGCUCAACCGAGGAACGGCAUUGGAAACUGCGUGGCUUGAGUAUGGGAGAGGAGAGCGGAAUUCUCGGUGUAGCGGUGGAAUGCGUAGAUAUCGAGAAGAACACCAGUGGCGAAGGCGGCUCUCUGGACCAAUACUGACGCUGACGCACGAAAGCCAGGGGAGCGAACGGGAUUAGAUACCCCGGUAGUCCUGGCCGUAAACGUUGCAGACUGGGUGUUGGAGGUAUCGACCCCUUCAGUGCCGACGCUAACGCAUUAAGUCUGCCACCUGGGGGAGUACGGUCGCAAGGCUG
rnacentral:rRNA from 1 species